UGGCAGGUACAGAGGGAUGCUACCGGGCGACCGGAUGCGGAUCUCGAAAGCCUGUCCCAGUUCGGACUGGAGUCUGCAACCCGACUCCACGAAGUUGGAUUCGCUAGUAAUCGCGCAUCAGCCAUGGCGCGGUGAAUACGUUCCCGGGCCUUGUACACACCGCCCGUCAAGCCAUGGGAGCCGGGGGCGCCUGAAGUCCGGGACCGCGAGGACCGGCCUAGGGCGAAACUGAUAACUGGGGCUAAGUCGUAACAAGGUAAC
rnacentral:rRNA from 1 species